GACGAACGCUGGCGGCGCGCCUAACACAUGCAAGUCGAACGAGAGAUGAAGAGCUUGCUCUUCAAAUCGAGUGGCGAACGGGUGAGUAACGCGUGAGGAACCUGCCUCAAAGAGGGGGACAACAGUUGGAAACGGCUGCUAAUACCGCAUAAGCCCACGGCUCGGCAUCGAGCAGAGGGAAAAGGAGCAAUCCGCUUUGAGAUGGCCUCGCGUCCGAUUAGCUAGUUGGUGAGGUAACGGCCCACCAAGGCGACGAUCAGUAGCCGGACUGAGAGGUUGAACGGCCACAUUGGGACUGAGAUACGGCCCAGACUCCUACGGGAGGCAGCAGUGGGGAAUAUUGGGCAAUGGGCGCAAGCCUGACCCAGCAACGCCGCGUGAAGGAAGAAGGCUUUCGGGUUGUAAACUUCUUUUGUCAGGGACGAGUAGAAGACGGUACCUGACGAAUAAGCCACGGCUAACUACGUG
rnacentral:rRNA from 1 species